rnacentral:rRNA from 1 species
CGGGUACGGGCCUUGAGAGAGGAAGCCCGGAGAUGGAUUCUGAGACAUGAAUCCAGGUCCUACGGGACGCAGCAGGCGCGAAAACUUCCCAAUGCGCGCAAGCGUGAGGAGGGGAUUCGGAGUGCUUUCCCAUACUUGGGGAAGCUUUUCUCCAGUUCAAAACGCUGGAGGAAUAAGUGGUGGGCAAUACGGGUGCCAGCCGCCGCGGUAAUACCCGAGCCACGAGUGGUGACCACGAUUAUUGGGCUUAAAGCGUUCGUAGUCGGUUCGUUAAGUUCCUAGUGAAAUCCUGCAGCAGACUGUAGGGCUUGCUGGGAAUACUGGCAGACUUGGGACCGGGAGAAGUCGAGCGUAUUCCUGGGGUAGCGGUAAAAUGCUUUAAUCCUAGGAGGACGACCUGUGGCGAAGGCUCUCGACUAGAACGGAUCCGACGAUGAGGGACGAAAGCUGGGGGAUCAAAGCGGAUUAGAUACCCGCGUAGUCCCAGCUGUAAACGAUACCCACCAGACUUUGGCAACCUCACGGGGGUUACCAGGGUCAAAGGGAAACCGUUAAGUGGGUCGCCUGGGGAGUACGGUCGCAAGGCUGAAACUUAAUGGAAUUGGCGGGGGAGCACACAAGGGGUGAAGGCUGCGGUU